rnacentral:rRNA from 1 species
AGUGAACGCUGGCGGUAGGCCUAACACAUGCAAGUCGAACGGCAUCACAGUAAUAGCUUUCUCUUACGGGAGGCGAGUGGCGGACGGGUGGGGAAUAACUCGGAAGCUACUUAUUCGUGGGGGAUAACGUAGGUAAACUUACGCUAAUACCGCAUACGAACUACGGGUGAAAGAAGUGGAUCUUCGGACCUUGCGCGAUUGCAUGAGCCGAUGUGGUUUUAGCUAGUUGGCGGGGUAAAGGCCCAUCAAGGCGACGAUCCGUAGCUGGUAUGAGAGGAUGGUCAGGCACAGUGGAAGUGAGACACGGUCCAGAGUCAUACGGGAGGCAGCAGUAGGGAAUCUUGGACAAGGGGCGAAAGCCUGAUCAAGACAUGCCGAGUGGGUGAAGAAGGCCUUCGGGUUGUAGAACCCUUUUGUUGGGAAAGAAAAGCAGCAGGUUAAUACACCGCUGUUCUGACGGUACCCAAAGAAUAAGCACCGGCUAACUUCGUG